rnacentral:lncRNA from 1 species
CGCAUAAAUCUGAGAAACGUGAGUUUUGUCUUCAUUGUUUAUCUAGACAUAGGAUAGGUUGUGUGAAAAUAUUACUGAUGUUUAACGUUAAAAAUGGACCAAAAGAUUAAUGCUAAACAACAUUUGACAUGUUUGAACGAACAUAAAUAGAUUAUUUACUAGGUUUUUUAGCUUUUCGGCGUGAUUUUACAGUCCCCCCACCACGUUUUGUGGGAGCAUAAAGAACGCUAAGUACUUGGUGUUAUUUGGACAUAAAUUAUGAACUUUGUCAAAAGAAACCACAUUUGUUCCGGACCUGGGAUGCCUUCCGGACCUGGGAUGCCUGCCUUCUGAUGGAGAUAAUCAAAGCUCAGAUGGGUGGAACUGUUGAGUCAGGUCAUGCCACUCAGAUGUCAGAUGAGGAAGCAGGGGUACUGAAAAUAUAUGUCACAGCUGGCCUGGUGUUCUACCUUCCCAAGGACUCCAAUGUCACCCAGCUCUUCUGCACUCUCUCAGUAGAAGCUCACAUCCAAAUCAAGACUGGCUGGUAUGGGGCAGCAAGGGGAAACACGGAGCCGAACUGAUGUCGCUCACAUUUCAUUGAAAUUACCUUGAGUGUCUCACGCUUUGCAAAAGUUACAUGUCUAGUGUAGCAGGCCAGUGAUUAGCACUCAUUUAUGAUUUAGCUGAUAGAUGAUUUUUUUCGGAAGGUUUUACUUGCACUGACUGUGGGAUAUGUGGUUGUCUUAACUAUCUUAUUUGAAUGCCCUGACUAUAAGUUGCUCUGGAU